CCGCUGCAUUAGUGACAGGGUUGUGAACACCACACCAGAACGACACUAAUCGGACAGAAUGUCUCCUCCGCUGGUUCUAAAUUACUUCUGGCGAGGAAGCAGAGAAAGGAGAUAUACACUUUAGAGAAUUCUAAAGUUGAUCUCUUGAAUCCGGUGUGACGUUGCCAUCUGUUUGACUCCUCUGCAGUCCUACCUACUUAGAUUCACCAUUGAUGGCUACAACGCAAGGCAAGUUAAAAGAGGGACUGACGAGUGAAUACAUGGGCCACGGGAGCAGAACAGAUUGCAAUUACUGGGCCGUGUGUGGAAAACACAAAAUGACCCACUUACAGGAGAAAGGAGCUGUUAUUUACAGAGAGAGAAAAAGACAAACAGAGGAUCCUGACAUGUCGCUGAGUCACGCAGGGGAUCUGGAUCUGAGAUGGGGGAGAGGAAUAUGUGGUGGAGGUAGAGAGUGACAGUAGUUUGGGGGAGCUAUAACUACAGCCACAUGUGAUGAGUUUUCUUGCAUAAAGAUACCUGUUGUGAUGAAUAGCGUAUCUCAAUAUACAUGCCAAACACUAGGUGUUAACUAGGCUUUAUUUUGGGAAGUGUAACAAUUCCGUAGGUGGAGGAGUGUGUCACGUGUGGUAGUGGUAACCAAGAGUCAGGAGAAGCAAUUCAGUUCUCAAAAGGGAAAUUAUUACUCUUAAAGAGCGACUUCCCCUAAAAAACAACUAAUCCCUUUGAAAAGAGCCUCUGUGGCAUCGAUGUGAGUCAGAAACAUUUGUAUUCUAGUAUCAAUAUUGACUACAAAGUGUAAAUAGGAUAAUUUUGGUCAUAAAGUCAGUCUCGUGUAAAAUGGAAUUUGGAAACUAGGUGCGUCACAGCGAGUAAAUAAAGGUUGGGUUUGGAUUACAAUUAUGCCAACAAAUCAUACCCCCUUUUGCCAAGCUCUACGUGCAAAUCGCCCCUCCGCCCACUUUGCUUCCAUUCAUUGAAUGGGACUCCAUUGUUUCAUCGCACACAAUGACGGCAGACUGAAAAGCCCUAGACGGAUUGAUCAUGCCUCUACAGCCAAAGUUCUAUACUUUGCAUGCCCUGCCGAAGGACCCUAGCUACUACGCGGAAUAGGUGCUUGGAGUAUGUCGGUCCCCAAAUCUGCACCAGUAACGCUAGCUUGGUGGGCAACGACCCGUGGUGGCCCUCCCAGUCAACACCACGUCAUACAAUGAGGAAGUAUAUUGUUUAUGAGGAUUUCCUGGUGCAAUUGUUCCAGAGAUGUCCAGUUUGCAGCUGAACAUGCAACAUGUAGAAGACCAGCAAGGGGACCCUCAGCAUCACCAGACAUGCCCUCACUGUGAGCAUUGCAAUAAAUGGAAUUGGGAGGACACUUGAAUCAGGGGCCAGGAGCUGAUCUACGCUGCCAUGCCCAUCAAUGGGAUGCAGUCAAAGACCUACCUCCAGCCUCAGCGCUUGCCUGCUCACCAAAGGUCAUAGAUGGGGAGACCAGGAUUAGAUGUGCCUAUGGAGCCAGCACUUGGAGACUUGCAAGAUGAUGUGAUGGAGUCCAGACUGACAUCUUUGAUGUCUCUAAAUGGAGAGAGACUUGGCACUUGGAAUUACAAUUUUACUAGACACAACUUUUAUUUGUUCAGGUGGGCCUUAGAGCUUCAGCAAACAAAGGAAAGGAGGAAAGGAAUAAUUCAAAAUUGCAUUUGUAUUUACA